rnacentral:rRNA from 1 species
AAUCUUCCGCAAUGGACGAAAGUCUGACGGAGCAACGCCGCGUGAACGAUGAAGGUUUUCGGAUCGUAAAGUUCUGUUAUCAGGGAAGAACAAGUAUCGGAGUAACUGCCGGCACCUGGACGGUAGCUGACCAGAAAGCCACGGCUAACUACGUGCCCGCAGCCGCGGUAAUACGUAGGAGGCAAGCGUUGUUCGGAAUUAUUGGGCGUAAAGCGCGCUCACGCUGUUUCUUAAGUCUGAUGUGAAAUCUCGUGGCUCAACCACGCGCGGCCAUUGGAAACUGGGAAACUUGAGUGCAGAAGAGAAGAGCGGAAUUCCACGUGUAGCGGUGAAAUGCGUAGAGAUGUGGAGGAACACCAGUGGCGAAGGCGGCUCUUUGGUCUGUAGCUGACGCUGAGGCGCGAAAGCGUGGGGAGCAAACA